rnacentral:rRNA from 1 species
CCUACGGGAGGCAGCAGUGAGGAAUAUUGGUCAAUGGCCGGGAGGCUGAACCAGCCAAGUCGCGUGAGGGACGACGGCCCUACGGGUUGUAAACCUCUUUUGUCAGGGAGCAAGGUGCAGGUCGGGACCUGCUGUGAGAGUACCUGAAGAAAAAGCAUCGGCUAACUCCGUGCCAGCAGCCGCGGUAAUACGGAGGAUGCGAGCGUUAUCCGGAUUUAUUGGGUUUAAAGGGUGCGCAGGCGGAGGCACAAGUCAGCGGUAAAAUCGCGGGGCUCAACCCCGCUCCGCCGUUGAAACUGUGUGCCUUGAGUGCGCGAAGGGUAGGCGGAAGGCGUGGUGUAGCGGUGAAAUGCAUAGAUAGCACGCAGAACUCCGAUCGCGAAGGCAGCCUACCGGCGCGAAACUGACGCUCAUGCACGAAAGCGUGGGUAUCGAACAGGAUUAGAUACCCCAGUAGUC